GGGGGGGGGGGGGGGGGGGGGGGGGGGGGGGGGGGGGGGGGGAGGGGGGCGGGGUUGGGGGGGGGCUCGAGUGGCGAACGGGUGGGGAACACGUGAGUAACCUGCCCUGGACUUUGGGAUAACUGCAGGAAACUGGGGCGAAUACCGGAGAGGAGCUCCUGCUGCAUGGUGGGGGGUGGAAAGUUUCGGCGGGUGGGGAUGGACUCGCGGCGUAUCAGCUUGUGGGUGGGGUAGUGGCUUACCAAGGCUUUGACGGGUAGCCGGCCUGAGAGGGUGACCGGCCACAUUGGGACUGAGAUACGGCCCAGACUCCUACGGGAGGCAGCAGUGGGGAAUAUUGCACAAUGGGCGGAAGCCUGAUGCAGCAACGCCGCGUGCGGGAUGACGGCCUUCGGGUUGUAAACCGCUUUCGCCUGUGACGAAGCGUGAGUGACGGUAAUGGGUAAAGAAGCACCGGCUAACUACGUG
rnacentral:rRNA from 1 species